rnacentral:tRNA from 1 species
GCGCGCGUAGCUCAAUGGUUAGAGCAUCUGUCUUAUACACAGAGGGUUGAAGGUUCGAGUCCUUCCGCGCGCACCA